GUUCUAAGCCAGCAACACAUAUACUAAAAUAGGAAUAAUACAGAGAAGAUUAGCAUGGUCCUUGUGCAAGGAUGACAUGCAAAUUCAUGAAGUGUUCCAUAUUUUU
ensembl:snRNA U6 U6 spliceosomal RNA